UACGUAGGGGGCAAGCGUUGUCCGGAUUUAUUGGGCGUAAAGAGCGUGUAGGCGGCCAGGUAGGUCAGCUGUGAAAACUCGAGGCUUAACCUCGAGACGUCGGUUGAAACCACCUGGCUAGAGUCCGGAAGAGGAGAGUGGAAUUCCUGGUGUAGCGGUGAAAUGCGCAGAUAUCAGGAAGAACACCCGUGGCGAAGGCGGCUCUCUGGGACGGUACUGACGCUGAGACGCGAAAGCGUGGGGAGCGAACAGG
rnacentral:rRNA from 1 species